rnacentral:hammerhead_ribozyme from 1 species
AUCCAGUUGAGCCGUCCCAAAUAGGAUGAAACGCGCGUCCUGGAU